UCUAUCCGCGGCGCGGAAGCCGCGGUAGUACGGAGGAUUGCGGCGGUAGCUGGAGUCAUCGGUGUGAAAGGGACCGUAGGCGGGCUUAUAAGUCAGAGGUGAAAGCACUGAGCUCAACGGAUGAACUGCCUUUGAAACUGUAGGGCUUGAAUGUUUGUGAAGUAGCUGGAAUGUGUAGUGUAGCGGUGAAAUGCAUAGAUAUGACACAGAACACCGAUUGCGAAGGCAUGUUACUAACAAAUGAUUGACGCUGAUGGACGACAGCGUGGGGAGCGAACAGGAUUAGAUACCCGUGUAGUC
rnacentral:rRNA from 1 species